CCUAAAGCGGCGAUGGCUUUGUGCUCCAGGAUCUCCGCCUUCUGCUCGGGUGUGAGCAGCGUGUUUGACACCAUCGCUUUUGCCACAGCUUCAAUGGGGAUGGCCAUGGACGUAGAGCACACAGAGGUGAGGCCAUUGAAGAAUUUCCUGGCCAGCCACUCCGCAGGACGACUCUCCUGCCUGUCGACCAACAACACCCUACGGGGGGAGAAACACAGAGAAAGAAAUCAAGCUGUAAUGUAUCACAAGCAGCAGACAGGAGUCCUGAUCAUCCUGAGUGGGUCUGCGUCGCUGUCGCUCUGUGGGGGCUCCUUCCUGACUCCCUCCCUUGGAGCAGAGUAACCAUCAAACCCGACGUCCUCUGGGCGGAGCUGCAGCAGCGGGGGCCAUUCAGACGGAGUCGGUGUGGCUGACCACGGCAUGUACGGGAUGAUGGAGUAAUUCCAGAGGUCGGUGAACCAAACUCUGGAUCCCUCCACGUCCAUGGGACAGGACAGGAAGAGACGAGGUCCUGUGUGCAGCAGAGCGGACGUGAAGCGGUUGAGGUGGUGCCAGACCCGCGGGAUCCAGUCGAUGAUCUUCACCAGCUCCAUGUUACGCGUCCGGCUGCCGAUCUCUGUCUCGAUCAGCUUCCUCCUCAGGUAGCGACCCAGGAAGCCUUUCACUGGCUCCAUGUGGUUGGCACAGAGCACCCACCUGAGCAGAGAGGA